UACGAAGGGGGCUAGCGUUGUUCGGAUUUACUGGGCGUAAAGCGCACGUAGGCGGAUCGUUAAGUGAGGGGUGAAAUCCCAGGGCUCAACCCUGGAACUGCCUUUCAUACUGGCGAUCUAGAGUCCGGAAGAGGUGAGUGGAACUCCUAGUGUAGAGGUGGAAUUCGUAGAUAUUAGGAAGAACACCAGUGGCGAAGGCGGCUCACUGGACCGGUACUGACGCUGAGGUGCGAAAGCGUGGGGAGCAAACAGG
rnacentral:rRNA from 1 species